rnacentral:tRNA from 2 species
GCGGGAUUGGCGGAAUUGGCAGACGCGCCAGACUUAGGAUCUGGUGGUUUUACCGUGUGGGUUCAAAUCCCUCAUCCCGCA